AGCCUCUUACAGAAAGAGUCUGCGCUGCCAGCACCACGCCCAGGCUAACACACACACACACACACACACACACACACACACACACACACCCUCACACACACACACUUAGCAAGCAUUGAUCGCCAAAAACUCUUAUUUUGUACGAACUUUGCAAAAGUUUGGAUGUUUUUUGUUUUUGUGGGUGAAACGCUGACACGCUGCCGAGGUCAAUUCUGGGUUAAGGUCAUGAAAUGGGCGGUAACCACAAGGAGCGAAAGGCGGUGCCUCAGAGAUUGAGUCAUCCUACUUCCAGUUUGAGGGAUUUGAGCAGAAGAUUAGCCUGGCCUGUCUGGACGUUUGCCUCAAUGGAAAAUCGCGUUGGAUCAAAACGUUCUGCCAAAUCAAAGCUUUCGUCGGGAUAAAAGUAGGUCCUUUCCUCCACGGGUGCCGCUGGUUCCAUCCUUGUCUCCUGCUGCUCUGACCAUGCAGUCCUCCUCGCUGUGCUUCGGACCGCUUAUCACAGUGUUCCUUCUCGCUCACCGGCGUUUCGGUGUUACUCCCAAGACGCUCAUCUGGAUUCCCACAGAAGUCAAGAUCCGACUCCCCUGUACCUGCUACCACGUCUUAGUUCCUGGAUUCUGCCCUUAAAUAUUAAAUAUUAAACUACGUCCCCGUGUCUGAGUUUCUUCCGGGUUCCAGCGACUGGGUCUGCCCACUGUCCUCAUGACAAAAUUAUUUGUCAUCGCUAGAAAAAAACUGUAUUUUUUAUUCUUGUUUUUUAUCCAAUCUGUAUAGUCGUUUGCUGUAAAACUCUUUUAAGGAUUAGGUUAAAGAUUAGCAGGAUUUUUAUUUUGUACAUUUAAGAACCACUAUAAUAAGGCCU